rnacentral:rRNA from 1 species
GAUGAACGCUAGCGGCAGGCCUAAUACAUGCAAGUCGAACGAUACUUUCCAGCUUGCUGGAGAGGAAAGUGGCGCACGGGUGCGUAACGCGUAUGCAACCUACCUUCAUCAGGGGGAUAGCCCGGAGAAAUCCGGAUUAAUACCGCAUAAAAUCACAGGAUGGCAUUAUCCAAUGAUCAAACAUUUAUGGGAUGGAGAUGGGCAUGCGUGUCAUUAGCUAGUUGGCGGGGUAACGGCCCACCAAGGCGACGAUGACUAGGGGAUCUGAGAGGAUGGCCCCCCACACUGGUACUGAGACACGGACCAGACUCCUACGGGAGGCAGCAGUAAGGAAUAUUGGUCAAUGGAGGGAACUCUGAACCAGCCAUGCCGCGUGCAGGAAGACUGCCCUAUGGGUUGUAAACUGCUUUUAUCCGGGAAUAAACCUAAAUACGUGUAUUUAGCUGAAUGUACCGGAAGAAUAAGGAUCGGCUAACUCCGUGCCAGCAGCCGCAGUAAAAC